AGAGGAAGUAAAAGUCGUAACAAGGUCUCCGUUGGUGAACCAGCGGAGGGAUCAUUACUGAGUACUACACUCUCUACCCUUUGUGAACUAUUAUACCUGUUGCUUCGGCGGCGCCCGCAAGGGUGCCCGCCGGUCUCAUCAGAAUCUCUGUCUUCGAACCCGACGAUACUUCUGAGUGUUCUUAGCGAACUGUCAAAACUUUUAACAACGGAUCUCUUGGCUCCAGCAUCGAUGAAGAACGCAGCGAAACGCGAUAUGUAAUGUGAAUUGCAGAAUUCAGUGAAUCAUCGAAUCUUUGAACGCACAUGGCGCCUUCCAGUAUCCUGGGAGGCAUGCCUGUCCGAGCGUCGUUUCAACCCUCGAGCCCCUGUGGCCCGGCGUUGGGGAUCUGCCACGGCAGGCCCCUAAAACCAGUGGCGGACCCGAAGGGCCCUCUCCUUUGCGCAGUAGCAUUCGCCUCGCAUCGGGAGUCCUCGGCGUCCUGCCUCUAAACCCCCCACAAGCCCGCUUCGGCGGCACCAAGGUUGACCUCGGAUCAGGUAGGAAUACCCGCUGAACUUAA
rnacentral:rRNA from 1 species